rnacentral:misc_RNA from 1 species
AAAGUCGUAACAAGGUUUCCGUAGGUGAACCUGCGGAAGGAUCAUUAUCGAGUGAGGGUCCUCCGGGCCCCAUCUCCAACCCUUGUCUAUUCUACCAUGUUGCUUUGGCGGGCCCGUCUGGAACCAGACCGCCGGGGACCCAUGUCCCUGGCCCGCGCCCGUCGGUAGCCCCCAUAACUUCUUCUGAUAGUGAUGUCUAAGUACGCGAGAAUAACCAAAACUUUCAACAACGGAUCUCUUGGUUCCG